UACGAGGGGCUGACGCGUUGUUCGGAAUUACUGGGCGUAAAGCGCACGUAGGCGGCUUUGUAAGUUAGAGGUGAAAGCCCGGGGCUCAACUCCGGAAUUGCCUUUAAGACUGCAUCGCUAGAAUUGUGGAGAGGUAAGUGGAAUUCCGAGUGUAGAGGUGAAAUUCGUAGAUAUUCGGAAGAACACCAGUGGCGAAGGCGACUUACUGGACACAUAUUGACGCUGAGGUGCGAAAGCGUGGGGGAGCAAACAGG
rnacentral:rRNA from 1 species